GGCUAGAAGGGGGGUGUCUCUGGGUCUCUGAGGGCUCCAGGAGCACCCCUUAUAGCAGCACCCAUUGGCGCUCCUCCCCUCCCAGAGACCAAGGCAGGGCCCGGGUCAGGCAGACUGGUGGGGAAAGGCAGUGUCCUAACAGCAUGGUGUGGAGAAGGAGGGAGAGGAGGAGAGGGAGGAGGAAGAGGGAGGAGGAAGAAGAGAGGGAGGAGGAGGGAGGAGGACAGAUCUGCUCCAGGACCAUGCCGCCAUCCUUGGCCCCUCUGGGUGGAGCUCCGCGGCAGCACUGCUGAAGGCAUGUUGUGGGUGCCCGGCCCGAUCAAUCUCGAGGAAAGCACGCAGUCAGGGCAGGGACUGUGGUCAGGCUGGG